rnacentral:rRNA from 1 species
GACGAACGCUGGCGGCGUGCUUAACACAUGCAAGUCGAACGGAAAGGCCCUGCUUUUGUGGGGUGCUCGAGUGGCGAACGGGUGAGUAACACGUGAGUAACCUGCCCUUGACUUUGGGGUAACUUCAGGAAACUGGGGCUAAUACCGGAUAGGAGCUCCUGCUGCAUGGUGGGGGUUGGAAAGUUUCGGCGGUUGGGGAUGGACUCGCGGCUUAUCAGCUUGUUGGUGGGGUAGUGGCUUACCAAGGCUUUGACGGGUCGCCGGCCUGAGAGGGUGACCGGCCACAUUGGGACUGAGAUACGGCCCAGACGCCUACGGGAGGCAGCAGUGGGGAAUAUUGCACAAUGGGCGGAAGCCUGAUGCAGCAACGCCGCGUGCGGGAUGACGGCCUUCGGGUUGUAAACCGCUUUCGCCUGUGACGAAGCGUGAGUGACGGUAAUGGGUAAAGAAGCACCGGCUAACUACGUG